AGUGAACGCUGGCGGUAGGCCUAACACAUGCAAGUCGAACGGCCGCACAGUAAGAGCUUGCUCUUACGGGUGGCGAGUGGCGGACGGGUGAGGAAUACAUCGGAAUCUACUUUUUCGUGGGGGAUAACGUGGGGAAACUUACGCUAAUACCGCAUACGACCUACGGGUGAAAGCAGGGGAUCUUCGGACCUUGCCCGAUUCAAUGAGCCGAUGUCGGAUUAGCUAGUUGGCGGGGUAAAGGCCCACCAAGGCGACGAUCCGUAGCUGGUCUGAGAGGAUGAUCAGCCACACUGGAACUGAGACACGGUCCAGACUCCUACGGGAGGCAGCAGUGGGGAAUAUUGGACAAUGGGCGCAAGCCUGAUCCAGCCAUACCGCGUGGGUGAAGAAGGCCUUCGGGUUGUAAAGCCCUUUUGUUGGGAAAGAAAAGCAGCAGGUGAAUACCCCGCUGUUCUGACGGUACCCAAAGAAUAAGCACCGGCUAACUUCGUG
rnacentral:rRNA from 1 species